CAUCUUUAAUAGGAUGUUACGAUUGUGUGAAUACAUAGCACAUUCGAGGUAGACGCAGAGAACUGAAACAUCUAAGUACCUGCAGGAAGAGAAAGAAAAUUCGAUUCCCUGAGUAGCGGCGAGCGAAACGGGAAAAGCCCAAACCAGCAAGCUUGCUUGUUGGGGUUGUAGGACUCCAAUAUGGUAGUUCUUUCAGAUAGUCGAAUGACUUGGAAAAGUCAGUCAAAGAGGGUAAAAACCCCGUAGACGAAAUGUGGAAGACACCUAGGAGGAUCCUGAGUACGGCGGAACACGAGAAAUUCCGUCGGAAUCCGGGAGGACCAUCUCCCAAGGCUAAAUACUCCCUAGUGACCGAUAGUGAACCAGUACCGUGAGGGAAAGGUGAAAAGCACCCCGGAAGGGGAGUGAAAUAGAACCUGAAACCGUGUGCCUACAACAAGUCAAAGCCCGUUAAUGGGUGAUGGCGUGCCUUUUGUAGAAUGAACCGGCGAGUUACGAUUGCAUGCGAGGUUAAGUUGAAGAGACGGAGCCGCAGCGAAAGCGAGUCUGAAUAGGGCGUUUGAGUAUGUAGUCGUAGACCCGAAACCAUGUGAUCUACCCAUGUCCAGGUUGAAGGUGCGGUAAAACGCACUGGAGGACCGAACCCACGUACGUUGAAAAGUGCGGGGAUGAGGUGUGGGUAGCGGAGAAAUUCCAAACGAACUUGGAGAUAGCUGGUUCUCUCCGAAAUAGCUUUAGGGCUAGCCUCGGAAUUGAGAAUGAUGGAGGUAGAGCACUGUUUGGACUAGGGGCCCAUCUCGGGUUACCGAAUUCAGAUAAACUCCGAAUGCCAUUCAUUCAUAUCCGGGAGUCAGACUGUGAGUGAUAAGAUCCAUAGUCGAAAGGGAAACAGCCCAGACCACCAGCUAAGGUCCCAAAAUAUAUGUUAAGUGGAAAAGGAUGUGGGGUUGCACAGACAACUAGGAUGUUGGCUUAGAAGCAGCCACCAUUUAAAGAGUGCGUAAUAGCUCACUAGUCGAGUGACCCUGCGCCGAAAAUGUACCGGGGCUAAACAUAUUACCGAAGCUGUGGAGUACACCUUUAGGUGUAUUGGUAGGAGAGCGUUCUAAGGGCGUUGAAGGCAGAUCGUGAGGACUGCUGGAGCGCUUAGAAGUGAGAAUGCCGGUAUGAGUAGCGAAAGACAGGUGAGAAUCCUGUCCACCGAAUGACUAAGGUUUCCUGGGGAAGGCUCGUCCGCCCAGGGUUAGUCGGGACCUAAGCCGAGGCCGACAGGCGUAGGCGAUGGAUAACAGGUUGAUAUUCCUGUACCCGUUGUUUUUGUUUGAGCAAUGGAGGGACGCAGGAGGCUAAGGAAUGCAGACGAUCGGAAAUGUCUGUCCAAGCAGUAAGUCUGAAGAGGAGUCAAAUGCUUCUUUUCUUAAGGACAAGCUGUGAUGGGGAGGGAAAUAAUAGUACCGAAGUUCCUGAUGUCACACUGCCGAGAAAAGCUUCUAGUGAGAAAACAGCGGCCCGUACCGCAAACCGACACAGGUAGUCGAGGAGAGAAUCCUAAGGUGAGCGAGAGAACUCUCGUUAAGGAACUCGGCAAAAUGACCCCGUAACUUCGGGAGAAGGGGUGCUGAUCAUACGAUCAGCCGCAGUGAAUAGGCCCAAGCGACUGUUUAUCAAAAACACAGGUCUCUGCAAAAUCGUAAGAUGAAGUAUAGGGGCUGACGCCUGCCCGGUGCUGGAAGGUUAAGAGGAGUGCUUAGCGCAAGCGAAGGUACGAAUUGAAGCCCCAGUAAACGGCGGCCGUAACUAUAACGGUCCUAAGGUAGCGAAAUUCCUUGUCGGGUAAGUUCCGACCCGCACGAAAGGCGUAACGAUUUGGGCACUGUCUCAACGAGAGACUCGGUGAAAUUUUAGUACCUGUGAAGAUGCAGGUUACCCGCGACAGGACGGAAAGACCCCAUGGAGCUUUACUGUAGUUUGAUAUUGAGUGUCUGUACCGCAUGUACAGGAUAGGUAGGAGCCGUAGAAAUCGGAACGCUAGUUUCGAUGGAGGCGCUGGUGGGAUACUACCCCUGCGUUAUGGCCACUCUAACCCGCACCACU
rnacentral:rRNA from 1 species